rnacentral:rRNA from 1 species
UACGGAGGGUGCAAGCGUUAUCCGGAUUUACUGGGUUUAAAGGGUGCGCAGGCGGUAAUUUAAGUCAGUGGUGAAAGCCUACAGCUCAACUGUAGAACUGCCAUUGAAACUGAAUUACUUGAGUGUGGAAGAGGUAGGCGGAAUACAACAUGUAGCGGUGAAAUGCAUAGAUAUGUUGUAGAACACCGAUUGCGAAGGCAGCUUACUAAACCAUUACUGACGCUCAGGCACGAAAGCGUGGGGAGCGAAC